CAGCAGCCGCGGUAAUGCGAAGGGUGCAAGCGUUACUCGGAAUUACUGGGCGUAAAGCGUGUGUAGGUGGUUGUUUAAGUCUGUUGUGAAAUCCCCGGGCUCAACCUGGGAAUGGCAAUGGAUACUGGCAAGCUAGAGUGUGUCAGAGGAUGGUGGAAUUCCCGGUGUAGCGGUGAAAUGCGUAGAGAUCGGGAGGAACAUCAGUGGCGAAGGCGGCCAUCUGGGACAACACUGACGCUGAGGCACGAAAGCGUGGGGAGCAAACAGGAUUAGAUACCCCCGUAGUCCCUGUCUCUUAUAC
rnacentral:rRNA from 1 species